rnacentral:rRNA from 1 species
UCCGGUUGAUCCUGCCGGAGGCUACUGCUAUCGGGGUCCGACUAAGCCAUGCGAGUUGAGAGGGGUAAGCCCUCGGCAUAUUGCUCAGUAACACGCGGAUAACCUGCCCUUGGGUCUGGGAUAACCCCGGGAAACUGGGACUAAUACCGGAUAGAUCAAAGAAACUGGAAUGUUCUCUGGUCUAAAACUCUGGUGCCCAAGGAUGGGUCUGCGGCCUAUCAGGUAGUAGUGGGUGUAACGUACCUACUAGCCUACGACGGGUAAGGGUUGUGAGAGCAAGAGCCCUGAGAUGGAUUCUGAGACAUGAAUCCAGGCCCUACGGGGUGCAGCAGGCGCGAAAACUUUACACUGCGGGAAACCGCGAUAAGGGGACCCCGAGUGCCAGCACCUAGUGCUGGCUGUCCAGCUGUCCAAAUAACAGUUGUUAGCAAGGGCCGGGCAAGACCGGUGCCAGCCGCCGCGGUAACACCGGCGGCCCGAGUGGUAGCCGUUAUUAUUGGGUUUAAAGGGUCCGUAGCCGGCCUAUUAAGUCUCUUGGGAAAUCUGGCGACUUAAUCGUCAGGCGUCCAAGAGAUACUGGUAGGCUUGGGACCGGGAGAGGUGGGAGGUACUCCAGGGGUAGGGGUGAAAUCUCGUAAUCCUUGGGGGACCACCGAUGGCGAAGGCAUCCCACCAGAACGGGUCCGACGGUGAGGGACGAAAGCUGGGGGCACGAACCGGAUUAGAUACCCGGGUGGUCCCAGCUGUAAACGAUGCUCGCUAGGUGUCAGGUGCGGUGCGACCGCAUCUGGUGCCGCAGUGAAAACUUGAAGCGAGUCACCUGGGAAGUACGGUCGCAAGGCUGAAACUUAAAGGAAU